CUUGUUUAAAUAUAAGAGGUCCAGCCUGCCCAGUGAUAAUUCAUUCAACGGCCGCGUAAUUUAAAGCGCGCAAAGGUAGCGUAAUCACUUGUUCUUUAAAUGAGGACUCGAAUCAACGGCACCACGAGGGCUAUACUGUCUCCUUCCCCCAAUCAGUGAAACUAAUCCCCCUGUGAAAAAGCAGGGAUAUCCCUAUAAGACGAGAAGACCCCAUGGAGCUUUAAACAUGACAACAUCUUUAAAAUUUCAUACACCCACCUUAUUAGCACGAAAGCAUUGUGCGUUAGUUUUAGGUUGGGGCGACCGCGGAGUAUAAGAAAACCUCCACAACGAAAGGGAAUAAGCCCUUACUUGAGAAAAACACUUCUACAAAUUAUUAAUAUAACGUUUAAUGACCCGAUUAUCGAUUAACGAACCA
rnacentral:rRNA from 1 species